AGCAGUAGCCACGGUAAUACGAAGGGGGCUAGCGUUGUUCGGAUUUACUGGGCGUAAAGCGCACGUAGGCGGAUCGAUCAGUCAGGGGUGAAAUCCCAGAGCUCAACUCUGGAACUGCCGUUGAUACUGUCGAUCUGGAGUAUGGAAGAGGUAAGUGGAAUUCCGAGUGUAGAGGUGAAAUUCGUAGAUAUUCGGAGGAACACCAGUGGCGAAGGCGGCUUACUGGUCCAUUACUGACGCUGAGGUGCGAAAGCGUGGGGAGCAAACAGGAUUAGAUACCCGUGUAGUCCCUGUCUCUUAUAC
rnacentral:rRNA from 1 species